rnacentral:misc_RNA from 1 species
ACACCUCAACCCUCACGGUUCCUCGUGAUGGGCUUGGACUUGGGGGCUUUGUUGGCCUGUGGUCAGCUCUCCUCAAAUAAAUCAGCUCGCCAGUGUCUGGCGGCAUCAUGGGUGUGAUAACCAUCUACGCUUGUGAUCGCCUGCGAGGUAAACCUCUGGUCUGCAGAGGUUCGCUGGAGCUUAUAGAUGUCUCUCCUCCGUGAAGACAGCUGUCUGAA